UAAUUGGAUUCUAGGCGUCUUUUAACGAUUUUCGUUUAGCCGUCUUUUUCCCAAUUUCCAUUUUAUAGCAGACCCUGUUGCGUGUUUUUAUAGUAAAAAAAAACAAUAACUAAACAAUCGCGUGGGUUUUUAAAAAAUAAGAGUGUUUAAAGCAGGCUCUCAAGCCUGGAUAAUGGUGCAUGGAAUAAUGGGAUCGGACUUCGGUUCUAUUUGAUUAAGAGGGACAGACGGGGGCAUUCGUACUGUGCCGUUAGAGGUGAAAUUCCUGGAUCGGCGCAAGACGAAUGACUGCGCGAGCAUUUGCCAAGAAUGUUUUCUUAAACAAG
rnacentral:ncRNA from 1 species